rnacentral:rRNA from 1 species
GACGAACGCUGGCGGCGUGCUUAACACAUGCAAGUCGAACGGAAAGGCCCUGCUUUUGUGGGUUGCUCGAGUUGCGAACGGGUGAGUAACACGUGAGUAACCUACCCUUGACUUUGGGAUAACUUCCUGAUACUGGGGCUAAUACCUGAUAGGUGCUCCUACUGCAUGGUGGGGGUUGGAAUGUUUCGGCGGUUUGGGAUGGACUCGCGGCUUAUCUGCUUGUUGGUGGGGUAGUGGCUUACCAAGGCUUUGACGGGUAGCCGGCCUGGGAGGGUGACCGGCCACAUUGGGACUGAGAUACGGACCAGACUGCUACGGGAGGCAGCAGUGGAGAAUAUUGCACAAUGGGCGGAAGCCUGAUGCAGCGACGCCGCGUGCGGGAUGACGGCCUUCGGGUUGUAAACCGCUUUCGCCUGUGACGAAGCGUGAGUGACGGUAAUGGGUAAAGAAGCACCGGCUAACUACGUG